rnacentral:rRNA from 1 species
GACGAACGCUGGCGGCGUGCUUAACACAUGCAAGUCGAACGGAAAGGCGCUGCUUUUGUGGGGUGCUCGAGUGGGGAACGGGUGAGUAACACGGGAGUAACCUGCCCUGGACUUUGGGAUAACUUCAGGAAACUGGGGCUAAUACCGGAUAGGAGCUCCUGCUGCAGGGGGGGGGUUGGAAAGUUUCGGCGGUUGGGGGUGGAGUCUGGGCUAGUCAGCUUGUUGGGGGGGUAGUGGCGUAGCAAGGCUUUGGUGGGUGGCCGGCCUGGGAGGGUGACCGGGCACAUUGGUCCUGCGGGACGGCCCAGACUCCUACGUGAGGCAGCAGUGGGGAAUAUUGCCCAAUGGGCCGAAGCCUGAGACAGAAACCUUGCGUGCGGAAUGCAGGUCUUCUGGUUGUAAACCGCAUUCGCCUGUGACGAAGCGUGAGUGACGGUACUGGGUAAAGAAGCACCGGCUAACUACGUG